rnacentral:rRNA from 1 species
UCGCAAGACAUUUGAUGAGUAGAAUCCUCUGGAAAGUGGAACCAUAGACGGUGAUAGUCCGGUAUACGAAGUCAAAUUAAGCGUAGUGGUAUCCUGAGUAGCGCGGGACACGAGAAAUCUUGCGUGAAUCUGCCGGGACCAUCCGGUAAGGCUAAAUACUCCCGAGAGACCGAUAGCGAACCAGUACUGUGAAGGAAAGGUGAAAAGCACUUCGAAUAGAAGAGUGAAAUAGUCCCUGAAACCGUGCGCCUACAAGCGGUCGGAGCUGCGUAAGCAGUGACGGCGUGC